rnacentral:rRNA from 1 species
UAGGGAAUCUUCCGCAAUGGACGCAAGUCUGACGGAGCAACGCCGCGUGAGUGAAGAAGGAUUUCGGUUCGUAAAACUCUGUUGUUAGAGAAGAACAGCGCAUAGAGUAACUGUUAUGCGUGUGACGGUAUCUAACCAGAAAGCCACGGCUAACUACGUGCCAGCAGCCGCGGUAAUACGUAGGUGGCAAGCGUUGUCCGGAUUUAUUGGGCGUAAAGCGAGCGCAGGCGGUCAAUUAAGUCUGAUGUGAAAGCCCCCGGCUCAACCGGGGAGGGUCAUUGGAAACUGGUUGACUUGAGGGCAGAAGAGGAGAGUGGAAUUCCAUGUGUAGCGGUGAAAUGCGUAGAUAUAUGGAGGAACACCAGUGGCGAAGGCGACUCUCUGGUCUGUAACUGACGCGGAGGUUCGAAAGCGUGGGUAGCAAACAGG